UGGGGACAAUGUACAAGAACAACUCUAGGAAUAAUUCACGUAGUAUUCACAGGUUGCUUAGUUCCGAUGAGAAGCUCUGGCUCUCGUCCAUUUAAUGAAAACAAUGUGGAUACGUCAUAGGUGGCUACUGUUGGAUAGAAUUCGAAGACGAUAAUAGCCAAUUAUACACAUUACUCAAAUCAACCUCUAUGCAGAAACCAUCCCAUGUAAAAUGUACUUUAAAACAUAAAGAUUGGGAGACAAUUUUAUUGGGACAAGAUUCCAUGUGGUUCGAAGGGAAGGAAACAA
rnacentral:lncRNA from 1 species